ACGUAAUAGAUACCCGGGUAGUCCUGGCUGUAAACGAUGACCACUAGAUGCACGCGGGCUCGACCCUGGGUGUGUCGCAGUUAACGCUUUAAGUGGUCCGCCUGGGGAGUACGGUCGCAAGACUAAAACUCAAAGGAAUUGACGGGGACCCGGCACAAGCAGCGGAGCGUGUGGUUUAAAUUCGAAGCAACGCGAAGCACCUUACCAGGGCUUGACAUGCUCCUGCACCAGCGGUAAUGCGCUGUCCUCUUCGGAGGCGGGAGCACAGGUGCUGCAUGGCUGUCGUCAGCUCGUGUCGUGAGAUGUUGGGUUUAAGUCCCGCAACGAGCGCAACCCCUGUGGUUGGUUGGAUCUUCUCCAGCCAGACUGCCGUGAGCAACACGGAGGAAGGUGGGGAUGACGUCAAGUCAGCAUGGCCCUGACGUCCUGGGCGACACACACGCUACAAUGGCCGGUCCAACGGGUAAGCCAACCCGCGAGGGGUAGCGGAUCCCAGCAAACCCCGGGUUCUCAGUUCAGAUUGCAGGCU
rnacentral:rRNA from 1 species